UACAGGGGGGGCAAGCGUUGUUCGGAAUUACUGGGCGUAAAGGGCUCGUAGGUGGCCAACUAAGUCAGACGUGAAAUCCCUCGGCUUAACCGGGGAACUGCGUCUGAUACUGGAUGGCUUGAGUUUGGGAGAGGGAUGCGGAAUUCCAGGUGUAGCGGUGAAAUGCGUAGAUAUCUGGAGGAACACCGGUGGCGAAGGCGGCAUCCUGGACCAACACUGACGCUGAGUGAGCGAAAGCCAGGGGAGCAAACGGG
rnacentral:rRNA from 1 species